AAGGUUUGGUCCCAGCCUUAAAAUCAAUUCUUAUUUAAUAUACACAUGCAAGUCUCCGCACCCCAGUGAGAACGCCCUUAACUUCCCAUUUCGGAAACAGGAGCUGGUAUCAGGCUCUAAUAUAUGCCCAUUACACCUAGCCUCGCCACACCCACAAGGGUCUUCAGCAGUGAUAAAUAUUGAGUAUAAGUGUAAACUUGACUCAGUUAAACUAACUAGAGCCGGCCAACCUGGUGCCAGCCGCCGCGGUUACACCACCGGGGCUCAAAUUGAUUUCUUUCGGCGUAAAGCGUGAUUAAAGUCCUUUUCUUUCACCUGGAAUCCAAUUUAAACUAAGCUGUAAUAUGCUUGUUUUAUAAGAAGCCCAAAAGCGAAAGUUAUUCCAAUUAAACCAACUUGAAUUCACGUCAACUGAGGAACAAACUGGGAUUAGAUACCCCACUAUGCUCAGUCGUAAACUUUAAUUUACCUCUUCCUCGCCCGGGAACUACGAGCCAAGCUUAAAACCCAAAGGACUUGACGGUACCCCAUAUCCCCCUAGAGGAGCCUGUCCUUUAAUCGAUAAUCCCCGUUUAACCUCACCAUUUCUAGCUAUUCAGCCUGUAUACCUCCGUCGUCAGCUUACCACGUGAGCGUCAGUGAGCUUAAUGUUUAUUUUACCACACGUCAGGUCAAGGUGCAGCAUAUGUAAUGGGAAGAGAUGGGCUACACUCUCUAAUAUAGAACAUACGAAAGACUAUUUAUGAAAUCUAGUCAAAAGGUGGAUUUAGAAGUAAAACGGAAUCAGAGAGUCCUUUUUAACCUUGGCACUGGGGUGCGUACACACCGCCCGUCACCCUCCUCAACACUACCUGAAAGUUUCUAACAAAUUCUAGUUUUCAAGAAGAGGCAAGUCGUAACAUGGUAAGUAUACUGGAAAGUGUGCUUGGAAA
rnacentral:ncRNA from 1 species